GGAUUCGUAGCUCAGUGGUAAGAUUGUCUCCUCUUGCAUGAUUUGUAGUUAUACUCCCUCGCUAACUCAGAACUUCAGGUAGAGCGAGAGAUUGCAGAUCUCUAGGUCACGUGUUCGAACCACGUCGGAUCCU
rnacentral:tRNA from 1 species